AAAAAAUGACAACAAUAAAGAAAAAUAAAACAAACGUUGCAAAACAAAAACAAAAUAUAUAAAAAAAAUCGAAAUAUAAAUUAAAAGUAUAACAAAAAAUUAAUAAAUAAAAUUUCAAACUUUCCGCGCGUAGCGCGGGUCAACAACUAGUCAUAUUAUAUAAUACAUAUAUAUAUAUAUAUAUAAUAUUCAAAAUUUUUAAAAAGUAAUUGAGAAAUAACAUCCACAAAAGUUUGGAGGAAUUUAAGAAAGACCAUUUUUCCA
rnacentral:lncRNA from 1 species